rnacentral:rRNA from 1 species
UACGGAGGGGGCUAGCGUUGUUCGGAAUUACUGGGCGUAAAGCGCACGUAGGCGGCUUUGUAAGUUAGAGGUGAAAGCCCGGGGCUCAACUCCGGAAUUGCCUUUAAGACUGCAUCGCUAGAAUUGUGGAGAGGUAAGUGGAAUUCCGAGUGUAGAGGUGAAAUUCGUAGAUAUUCGGAAGAAACACCAGUGGCGAAGGACGACUUACU